GACGGAAGGUGCAAGCGUUGCUCGGAAUUACUGGGCGUAAAGCGUGCGUAGACGGUUAUGUAAGUCGGGUGUGAAAGCCCCGGGCUCAACCUGGGAAUGCCAUUCGAGACUGCAUAGCUAGGGUGCGGAAGAGGGAAGCGGAAUUUCCGGUGUAGCGGUGAAAUGCGUAGAUAUCGGAAGGAACACCAGUGGCGAAAGCGGCUUCCUGGUCCAGCACCGACGUUCAGGCACGAAAGCGUGGGGAGCAAACAGG
rnacentral:rRNA from 1 species